AGACCGACCGUGCGCCGGGCUCGAGCGCGGUCUGAGCGCGCGGCGCCUGCGGCGGCGAACGGACGGACGGACCGCGGACGGACGUACUGACCCCAACCCGCGAGCCCCGGGAGCCGUCGGUCUGAGGAGGGGCCGCUUCGCCAUGUCGCCCCGCACCUGCUGAGCCCGGAGCGUCCGAGGAUGUCCGCGCUGAGGAAGGCUUUCUCGCCAUCCGAGGCUUGGCCCUAGCCCUGCGCGGCUUCCCUCGCGGCUGCUAACCCUCUGCCUGCGCCCAGCCCAGCCACAAUGGGGACUGCUCAGGUUUUGCCUGGCAUUCUGCAGAAGCAUUGCUGUAUCUUACCAGACAGGAAUACAGAUGAAGACCCCCAGGCCCAGGGAAUUCGAUCACUGGCUGAGAACUCACAGCUAAGGAGGGGGAGCCUGGGAUUCCUUCCUGGUGCUCACACCCGAGACCCUUUUGUCACUGUGUUCAAAGGCACUGCUGCACAGACGUGAUUCUUCUUUCAACGAACAUCUCCAGGACUUCCUCCGGGGUCUGUGACCUCAUCUAUAAUUAAAGGGAAAGAGAUCUUCCUGAGAUUAGCCCAUUUAACUUGUUUAACUAGAUGCAUGCUGCAAAAACUGUUUUCAAGAAAUGAACAAUUGACUAUUUAAAAAGAGCCAAGCCUUAAAAGAAGACCAGGUUUUAAUAGGGAAAACAUUCAGUAAAAUAUUAUUCUGCAGUAACUUGUGGAAUGACUGCUGUACACACAGCUCUGGGCUGGGUACCUGGAAGCUCACGAGCUUGUUUGGCCUCCCCUCCUGGACACAGGAGGUGUCAAGGCUGUGGUCAGCAGAAUCUACCCAGCUGGACACUGAGUGGACGCCCUGUGGGGUGGCUGUGAAAUGGGUCCACUUUGUAGUGGCAGCAUCCCUGAUAGUACUUCUGAAAGGGACAAGAUAGAAAAGCAAACCAAACUGAAACUGAGAAGUCGUGGAUGAUACCAGGGGCGCACAGUGGCUGACAGGAAGAGACUGCCUGGGGGGUCUCGGAGCCAGUGGCUGGAGUGGAGUUAGUUUGACCGAGUCCUGGACUAGGGAGGGGACCCCCAAAGCAUGCCCAGCAUGGCGCUAGUGGGGCCCAGGCACCCCAUGUCCCAACGACUAGAACCAAUAAUCAGGUUAACACUCAUUAAAUAAGAAGUGUCUGUGCCUCCUGGGAUAAAAAUCCUUUAUAACGAUCUGGGACGCGAGCUCAAGUCCCUGUUCCCUUGUCCUCCACAGCAGUGUGCAGCGUG
rnacentral:lncRNA from 1 species